rnacentral:rRNA from 1 species
CCCUUAGAUGUUCUGGGCCGCACGCGUGCUACACUGAUGCAUUCAACAAGCCUAGCCUUGACCGAGAGGUCCGGGUAAUCUUUGAAACUGCAUCGUGAUGGGGCUAGAUUAUUGCAAUUAUUAAUCUUCAACGAGGAAUGCCUAGUAAGCGUGAUUCAUCAAAUCGCGUUGAUUACGUCCCUGCCCUUUGUACACACCGCCCGUCGCUCCUACCGAUUGAAUGUGUUGGUGAGGAGCUCGGAUUGGCAGCAGUUGGUGGUUCGCCACCGGCUAUUGCUGAGAAGUCCUCCAAACCGCCCCAUUUAGAGGAAGGAGAAGUCGUAACA